rnacentral:rRNA from 1 species
UGGGGAAUAUUGCACAAUGGGCGAAAGCCUGAUGCAGCGACGCCGCGUGAGGGAUGACGGCCUUCGGGUUGUAAACCUCUUUCAGCAGGGACGAAGCGCAAGUGACGGUACCUGCAGAAGAAGCACCGGCUAACUACGUGCCAGCAGCCGCGGUAAUACGUAGGGUGCAAGCGUUGUCCGGAAUUACUGGGCGUAAAGAGUUCGUAGGCGGUUUGUCGCGUCGUUUGUGAAAACCAGCAGCUCAACUGCUGGCUUGCAGGCGAUACGGGCAGACUUGAGUACUGCAGGAGAGACUGGAAUUCCUGGUGUAGCGGUGAAAUGCGCAGAUAUCAGGAGGAACACCGGUGGCGAAGGCGGGUCUCUGGGCAGUAACUGACGCUGAGGAACGAAAGCGUGGGUAGCGAACAGG